rnacentral:rRNA from 1 species
UUGAACGCUGGCGGCAGGCCUAACCCAUGCAAGUCGAGCGGAUGAAGGGAGCUUGCUCCUGGAUUCAGCGGCGGACGGGUGAGUAAUGCCUAGGAAUCUGCCUGGUAGUGGGGGAUAACGUCCGGAAACGGGCGCUAAUACCGCAUACGUCCUGAGGGAGAAAGUGGGGGAUCUUCGGACCUCACGCUAUCAGAUGAGCCUAGGUCGGAUUAGCUAGUUGGUGGGGUAAAGGCCUACCAAGGCGACGAUCCGUAACUGGUCUGAGAGGAUGAUCAGUCACACUGGAACUGAGACACGGUCCAGGCUCCUACGGGAGGCAGCAGUGGGGAAUAUUGGACAAUGGGCGAAAGCCUGAUCCAGCCAUGCCGCGUGUGUGAAGAAGGUCUUCGGAUUGUAAAGCACUUUAAGUUGGGAGGAAGGGCAGUAAGUUAAUACCUUGCUGUUUUGACGUUACCAACAGAAUAAGCACCGGCUAACUUCGUG